rnacentral:rRNA from 1 species
CAGUCGCCGCGGUAAUACGGAGGGUGCAAGCGUUAAUCGGAAUUACUGGGCGUAAAGCGCACGCAGGCGGUCUGUUAAGUCAGAUGUGAAAUCCCCGGGCUUAACCUGGGAACUGCAUUUGAAACUGGCAGGCUAGAGUCUUGUAGAGGGGGGUAGAAUUCCAGGUGUAGCGGUGAAAUGCGUAGAGAUCUGGAGGAAUACCGGUGGCGAAGGCGGCCCCCUGGACAAAGACUGACGCUCAGGUGCGAAAGCGUGGGGAGCAAACAGGAUUAGAUACCCGCGUAGUCCCUGUCUCUUAUAC